UUCGUUCACUAGGGGUGCGUUUAUUUGUGCUGAGAGAGGCUAUGAGCCUUAACCCUUUUUACCUGAACUAGAUAAUACUAGCGGAGGGAAGUGGAAGUAGACAAAA
rnacentral:ncRNA from 2 species